rnacentral:rRNA from 1 species
CCUACGGGAGGCAGCAGUGAGGAAUAUUGGUCAAUGGCCGAGAGGCUGAACCAGCCAUGCCGCGUGCGGGAUGACGGCCCUAUGGGUUGUAAACCGCUUUUUUGAGGGAGCAAUAAGGCCCACGUGUGGGCUGAUGAGAGUACCUUGAGAAUAAGCAUCGGCUAACUCCGUGCCAGCAGCCGCGGUAAU